GACGCCCGCUUUCUUCUUUCCUAAUACAUGCAAGUUGAGCGCUCAAGUUUGGUGCUUGUUCCUACUGGAUGAGCAGCGAACGGGUGAGUAACGCGUGGGGAAUCUGCCUUUAAGCGGGGGACAACAUUUGGAAACGAAUGCUAAUACCGCAUAAAAUCUUUAAACACAAGUUUUAAGAGUGAAAGACGCAAUUGCAUCACUCAAAGGUUAUCCCGCGUUGCAUUAGCUAUUUGGGAAGGUAAAGGCUCACCAAGGCAAUGAUACGUAGCCGACCUGAGAGGGGGAUCGACGACACUGGAACUGAGACACGGUCCAGACUCCUACGGGAGGCAGCAGUAGGGAAUCUUCCGCAAUGGGCGAAAGCCUGACGGAGCAACGGCGCGUGAGUGAUGAAGGUCUUCGGAUCGUAAAACUCUGUUAUUAGGGAAGAACAAAUGUGUAAGUAACUAUGCACGUCUUGACGGUACCUAAUCAGAAAGCCACGGCUAACUACGUG
rnacentral:rRNA from 1 species